CAAGAUACCAUGGUAUUCUCUGUGGACUCUGUUAUAAUCACAACUGAUAAAGCUGAAAUUCUCUGGUCUAGCCUCUGGGAGGAGAUGGUUGUGGUUUUUCGCACUAGUCUGUCCAUGUUCUAUGGGAAGACAAGUCCAAUGCGUCUGUUAUUUUACUGUGGAUUCCAGCAGGAGAAAAUAAUGCUGAAGUAAUUAAAAUCAUCAAGAUUUGGUUUUUUCCCUAUGGAUCUUUACAAAGCGACGUAAGACUGAAGCCCCCAGUCCUGCAACAUGUAUAUGAAUGAACCAC